rnacentral:misc_RNA from 1 species
ACAUCUCAACUCUCAUGGUUUGCCAUGAUGAGCUUGGACUUUGGGGGUCUUGCUGGCCUGUGGGUCGGCUCCUCUCAAAUGAAUCAGCUUGCCGGUGUUUGGCGGCAUCACGGGUGUGAUAACUAUCUACGCUUGUGGUUUUUGCCAGGUAACCUUCGGUGGUGGAGGUUCACUGGAGCUCACAAAUGUCUCUCCUCGGUGAGGACAGCUCUUUGAAU